rnacentral:rRNA from 1 species
GACAGAGGGUGCAAACGUUGCUCGGAAUUACUGGGCGUAAAGCGCGUGUAGGUGGAUUGGUGUGUCAGAUGUGAAAUCCCUGGGCUCAACCCAGGAACUGCACCUGAAACUACCAGUCUUGAGUGGUGGAGAGGGAAGUGGAAUUCCUGGUGUAGCGGUGAAAUGCGCAGAUAUCAGGAAGAACACCCGUGGCGAAGGCGGCUCUCUGGAACGCAACUGACGCUGAGACGCGAAAGCGUGGGGAGCAAACAGG